UACGGAGGGAGCUAGCGUUGUUCGGAAUUACUGGGCGUAAAGCGCACGUAGGCGGCUUUGUAAGUUAGAGGUGAAGCCCAGUGCUCAACACUGGAACUGCCUUUAAAACUGCAUCGCUUGAAUCCAGGAGAGGUGAGUGGAAGUUCCGAGUGUAGAGGUGAAAUUCGUAGAUAUCGGGAGGAACACCAGUGGCGAAGGCGGCGAUCUGGGAAGAUACUGAC
rnacentral:rRNA from 1 species